GAUGAACGCUGGCGGCGUGCCUAAUACAUGCAAGUCGAGCGAACAGACGAGGAGCUUGCUCCUCUGACGUUAGCGGCGGACGGGUGAGUAACACGUGGAUAACCUGCCUAUAAGACUGGGAUAACUUCGGGAAACCGGAGCUAAUACCGGAUAAUAUAUUGAACCGCAUGGUUCAAUAGUGAAAGACGGUUUUGCUGUCACUUAUAGAUGGAUCCGCGCCGCAUUAGCUAGUUGGUAAGGUAACGGGUUACCAAGGCAACGAUGCGUAGCCGACCUGAGAGGGUGAUCGGCCACACUGGAGCUGAGACACGGUCCAGACUCCUACGGGAGGCAGCAGUAGGGAAUCUGCCGCAAUGGGCGAAAGCCUGACGGAGCAACGCCGCGUGAGUGAUGAAGGUCUUCGGAGCGUAAAACUCUGUUAUUAGGGAAGAACAAAUGUGUAAGUAACUAUGCACGUCUUGACGGUACCUAAUCAGAAAGCCACGGCUAACUACGUG
rnacentral:rRNA from 1 species